rnacentral:rRNA from 1 species
AGAGUUUGAUCCUGGCUCAGAUUGAACGCUGGCGGCAUGCCUUACACAUGCAAGUCGAACGGCAGCACGGGAGCAAUCCUGGUGGCGAGUGGCGAACGGGUGAGUAAUAUAUCGGAACGUGCCCAGUCGUGGGGGAUAACGCAGCGAAAGCUGUGCUAAUACCGCAUACGAUCCAUGGAUGAAAGCGGGGGAUCGCAAGACCUCGCGCGAUUGGAGCGGCCGAUAUCAGAUUAGCUAGUUGGCGGGGUAAAAGCCCACCAAGGCGACGAUCUGUAGCUGGUCUGAGAGGACGACCAGCCACACUGGAACUGAGACACGGUCCAGACUCCUACGGGAGGCAGCAGUGGGGAAUUUUGGACAAUGGGCGCAAGCCUGAUCCAGCAAUGCCGCGUGCAGGAUGAAGGCCUUCGGGUUGUAAACUGCUUUUGUACGGAACGAAACGGUCCUUUCUAAUACAAGGGGCUAAUGACAGUACCGUAAGAAUAAGCACCGGCUAACUACGUGCCAGCAGCCGCGGUAAUACGUAGGGUGCGAGCGUUAAUCGGAAUUACUGGGCGUAAAGCGUGCGCAGGCGGUUAUAUAAGACAGAUGUGAAAUCCCCGGGCUCAACCUGGGACCUGCAUUUGUGACUGUAUAGCUAGAGUACGGUAGAGGGGGAUGGAAUUCCGCGUGUAGCAGUGAAAUGCGUAGAUAUGCGGAGGAACACCGAUGGCGAAAGCAAUCCCCUGGACCUGUACUGACGCUCAUGCACGAAAGCGUGGGGAGCAAACAGAUUAGAUACCCUGGUAGUCC